ACAGGGUGGUUCAUGAGAGAUGCUCUUGGAGGUCACUGAUUCAUAGGGUCGCCAUAAGUCGUAAUCAACUUAAAGGCAGAUAACAACAACAAGCUACGGAGGUCACCUGGGCCUCUAGCAACAAAGAUGGAUCCAAGAGCACCCCCAGACUAUGAACCUGCUCUUUCAGAGAGAGUACAAUCCCAUAACCCACAGUGCCUCCGUCUUGCUAGGAUUCAGACUCAGUUUAUUGGCCCUCAUCCAGCCCACCACUAAGUCCAGGCAGUGAUCCAGGGCUUGCAUGGCCUCUCAUGAUUCAGAAGUUAUGGAGAAAUAGAACUGGGUAUCGUCAGUGUACUGCUGACACCUCGCCCCAAAUCUCCUGAUGACCGCUCCCAAGGGCUUCAUAUAGAUGUUAAACAGCAUGGGGGACAAGAUGGUACCCCACAGCACCCCAAAGCACAACUGCCAGGGGGCCAAAAGACAGUCACCCAAUGCUAUUCUCUGAGAGCGACCUUGGAGAUAAGGCCAGAACCACUCUGAAACAGUGCCAUCAGUUGAGGGUGUGCCCUGCCCUAUGUAUCGGGCCAGUGACAACUUGAGACAGCCCCAUGGUCGUCCCCAUGGAUUACAGCCUUAAUAUUUUAAGGAUAUAAUUGACUCCUGCUGUGCAGCCCCUCUGAGUUAAAAAAAAAAGAAAUAAGGGUGAAUAAUAAUUACAAAUAAUUGUAAUGGCUGCCAUCAACAUUGUGUCAUGGCCCCGUCAGAGGACUCAUCAGACGAGGAUGACUCAGAAGUAACAGCAGCAGACCCAGAAGGAGAAAUGGAGGAAACUCCUGAGAACCCAGCUCCUUCUCCCCCUCAGCUGCAGAGCACCCCAGACACAGCUGAAGCCCUUCAGCCAGACGCAGCCAGUGAACAGGAUACUCCCCCCUCACCUGCAGAACAUAGACAGCAGAAGGUCAGGCAGAAGAGAGGCAGGCCUGUCCACUUAAGACCAAAAUGCUGAUGGCUCACACCUGCUGACAAACCUGCUCCUUACAAGUCAAACCUUGGCUUCAGCUUGUUGCUGACUACAACGUCAGGCGUGACCACUGUGUGUCUUCCUAUCCCUUGAACCUUGACUUGGACUGAUCUCUCAGCAAACUAGACCCGGACCUUCACUGACGUCUCUUCUGGAUUUCUGGCUUGGCACGCACCAGCAAGGAGGCUGCUGGCUUUCUCAGCUGCUUGUAAAAUGACUGAUCCUCUGAUAAUCAAGGCAAUUGCCAUUGAAACCACUGUGGGUGAGUCCCCGAAGGUGCUAUGUUGGACAUCUGCAUGGACAAUGCAGGGGCCGGCUGAUUACUGUUGAUCUAUUAAAAACAUUUAUAUUUUGCCUUUCCUCAGGAGAGCUGAAGGUGCAGCUAAGUUCCUCAGUGUCACAGUGCCCCCAGCUGUUGUUCCGUGUCUGUGCAUUGCCGCAACGGCGAUCGCCAUCUCCUAUUUCAUUCACAAAGCCUACGAGCAUCACCAGAUCCAUGGUAUCCGCAAAGCUCUCCUCCAACACUACAUUUCAAAUGAGUUGAUUUUCCUCUUGUCCACUUUUUCACUGUGGUGUUCUCAUAAUUUGUUGAAAUUAAUUAAAAAUCAGCCGUGUUCACAGAG